UACGAGAGGUCCAAACGUUAUUCGGAAUCACUGGGCUUACAGAGUUCGUAGGCGGUACGGAAAGUGGGGUGUGAAAGCCCUCGGCUCAACCGAGGAACUGCGCUCCAAACUACCGUGCUAGAGGAAGAUAGAGGUGAGCAGAACUGAUGGUGGAGCGGUGAAAUGCGUUGAUAUCAUCAGGAAUACCGGAGGCGAAGGCGGCUCACUGGGUCUUUUCUGACGCUGAGGAACGAAAGCUAGGGGAGCGAAUGGG
rnacentral:rRNA from 1 species